CCGCGUGUGUGAAGAAGGCCCUAGGGUUGUAAAGCACUUUAAGUUGGGAAGAAAAGUUAUUGGUUAAUACCCAAUAACCGUGACAUUACCAUCAGAAUAAGGACCGGCUAAUUCCGUGCCAGCAGCCGCGGUAAU
rnacentral:rRNA from 1 species